AUUGAACGCUGGCGGCAGGCCUAACACAUGCAAGUCGAGCGGAGCGGCUGUCUGGUGCGUUAUGCCUAGGAAUCUGCCUGUUAGUGGGGGAUAACGUCCGUUAACGGGCGCUAAUACCGCAUCCUAUCAGAUGAGCCUAGUUCUGAUUAGCUAGUUGGUGGGGUAAAGGCCUACCAAGGCGAAGAUCCGUAACUGGUCGGAGAGGAUGAUCAGUCACACUGGAACUGAGACACGGUCCAGACUCCUACGGGAGGCAGCAGGGGGGAAUAUUGGACAAUGGGCGAAAGCCUGAUCCAGCCAUGCCGCGUGUGUGAAGAAGGUCUUCGGAUUGUAAAGCACUUUAAGUUGGGAGGGGUAACCAAAAGAAUAAGCACCGGCUAACUUCGUGCCAGCCGCCGCGUAAUAG
rnacentral:rRNA from 1 species